rnacentral:rRNA from 1 species
UACGGAGGGUGCAAGCGUUAUCCGGAUUCACUGGGUUUAAAGGGAGCGUAGGCGGGUUGGUAAGUCAGUGGUGAAAUCUUCAAGCUUAACUUGGAAACUGCCGUUGAUACUAUCAAUCUUGAAUAUUGUGGAGGUAAGCGGAAUAUGUCAUGUAGCGGUGAAAUGCUUAGAUAUGACAUAGAACACCGAUAGCGAAGGCAGCUUGCUACACAAUUAUUGACGCUGAGGCUCGAAAGCGUGGGGAGCAAACGGG